GUUUCACAAUGCAACAGGUCACACAGUGGAGGCAAAGUUUACAAAGGAAUGGUAUAGAACAACUACAAAAACCACAGAAGAAACUGGCAACCUAGAAACGAGAUUAUCCAGUAAUAACUCAAACAAUGGUUGAUGGUUGACUGUCUUCAGGCGCUCCCACUCAACUGUGCCUACAAUUUCCACUGGAUUUCAACCGCUCCCUCCCACCAAGUCGCUCCGACCCUCACAGAAUGAGUCUGCUCCUCCAACCCAGGCCCUGCACCAUCUGUGGAAGGAAAGAACCCAAACUGCGAACUGCAAUCCAUCAGCAGUAUCAUGGCAAGGGCAGGAACUAAAAUAAUGAUUACAGUGACUCCACUUCCAGCUAAAAGACUCCAGGCAAGACGAUGAAUCAUCACUAUUCCCUAUAAUUAAAUAAAGGCCAUCACACAUAACUGAUCAGUAAUGGUCAUCAGGAAUGUAAGUUGCAGGUGGUUGUACCAAUAAAAUCAAUAAUGAAACAUUAUGGAAAAUAAAGGACUGGAAUGCUA